CAUUCAAUCCAAAAAAUAAAACAACAAUGGCAGAGAAUGUGGAUUUGACUUUUUCAUUUAAAUGGAGCAAGGAGCAUACUGCUCAAUUGAUCAAACUCAGGGGGGAGAACGACGAGCUCUUCACCGGGGUGAAACAUUCGGCGAGUGUGGCUUGGGGGUAAGGAAACAAUCGUUUAUUUAUAUCGUAAGUUAGUUUAUAAAAAUUAUUAUAGGCCAUUUGUAUAUCUACAUUUGACCAUCUUGUAAAGGUUAGUUAAAUUAGCCCUCAUUGAAAAGCAGGACAGAUACAACAUCCACAGAAAUCGUUUACUACGAUGUCCUAUUUUGGGUUAUUAAAGAAAGACAAAAAAAA